GAUGAACGCUGGCGGCGUGCCUAAUACAUGCAAGUCGAGCGAACGGACGAGAAGCUUGCUUCUCUGAUGUUAGCGGCGGACGGGUGAGUAACACGUGGAUAACCUACCUAUAAGACUGGGAUAACUUCGGGAAACCGGAGCUAAUACCGGAUAAUAUUUUGAACCGCAGGGUUCAAAAGUAAAAGACGGUCUUGCUGUCACUUAUAGAUGGAUCCGCGCUGCAUUAGCUAGUUGGUAAGGUAACGGCUUACCAAGGGAACGAUGCAUAGCCGACCUGAGAGGGUGAUCGGCCACCCUGGAACUGAGACACCGUCCAUACGCCUACGGGAGGCAGCAGUAGGGAAUCUUCCGCAAUGGGCGAAAGCCUGACGGAGCAACGCCGCGUGAGUGAUGAAGGUCUUCGGAUCGUAAAACUCUGUUACUAGUUAAGAACAUAUGUGUAAGUAACUGUGCACAGCUUGACGGUACCUAAUCAGAAAGCCACGGCUAACUACGUG
rnacentral:rRNA from 1 species